GAGGCAAAUAUCACAAUGCAUCACAAAAUACUGCUGCCCCACUGCAGUAUUAAAUUGUCUCACUGUCCUGAGGCUGGCGAUACAGUUGAACUCAGGAGGGCAUCUGGGUCCACCAGCCAGGUGCAUAAGUACCUGAGGCCCCUAGCAUUAAUUAACGCUGAGAGCAUCAGAUCAUUAUGUACCCAGCCAACAGCCGUGAUGG